CAUCUAUGAGACUGAAGCAAGAAGGACAUCAACAGGCCAGAAUGACAGACUGGCAAGUUCUUUUGCUUGGCCAGCAACAUUUGGCAACCCUUCACCUGGCUUCUCCCUAGGGAAGAUGUCUCUCGAAGGAACCCUUAAAACAGCUUUUGUCACAAGCCUAACCUUCCACAAGGUUAUUUCAUGUUCUCUCUGCUUUUGGCUGAAGCAACGUACCUCUGCCUACUACCAUUUCUGCUGCUGAUUAUAAAACCGAUUUCUACCUUGAAAAAAAAUAAAUAAAUAACCAGAAUAACCUA